rnacentral:rRNA from 1 species
GACGAACGCUGGCGGCGUGCUUAACACAUGCAAGUCGAACGGAAAGGCCCUUCUUGCAGGGUACUCGAGUGGCGAACGGGUGAGUAACACGUGGGUGAUCUGCCCUGCACUUCGGGAUAAGCCUAGGAAACUGGGUCUAAUACCGGAUAGGAGCCAUUUUUAGCGUGAUGGUUGGAAAGUUUUUUCUCCGUAGGAUGAGCUCGCGGCCUAUCAGCUUGUUGGUGGGGUAAUGGCCUACCAAGGCGGCGACGGGUAUCCGGCCUGAGAGGGUGGACGGCCACACUGGGACUGAGAUACGGCCCAGACGGCGACGGGAGGCAGCAGGGGGGAAGACUGCACAAUGAGCGCAGGCCUGAUGCAGAGACGCCGCGUGGGGGAUGACGGCCUUCGGGUUGUAGACUCCUUUCGCUAGGGACGAAGCGUUUUGUGACGGUACCUAGAGAAGAAGCACCGGCUAACUACGUG